rnacentral:lncRNA from 10 species
GUCUUCACCCGGGAAAUGGGGAGAGAGACUGCGGGGCAGCUGGCACCACAUACGUGCCUUACAGGUGGGGUGUGGGGACUUAGGAGGGCUUAGCACCCAGAGCAUUAGCCCAGGGCCUGGCCCCUGGUGGCUUCUCCCGGCCGCUGGCUGCUUGGCAGGGCUGGAGGGGAGGAGACCCACAGUUUCGGGCUUGAGUCACCUCCCUCCUGGCCAGGCUUCGGCGGCACUGACUCAGCGCCUGCGUGAGCUGGAUGCUGCCUGGAAAGCUAAUCAGCCUCUGAGGGGAGAGGAGAGGAGAAGAAAUGGUGGUAGAGAAAGAAAGGCAAGGGGAGCUGUGCAGAACCACCCGGAAGCUUGAGAGUUCAACGCGGAGAACCUGCUCUGUGCCAGGCCCCCACCUGGGAGGUUUUUCUGCAAACAGUUGUGCGUGAAAUCAGGACCCAGAUGCUGCAGAACUGAAGUGGGAAGGGACUGACCACCACUGGGCAAAAGGCCGAAGAGGGUAAGAGUUAUAUAGUAACUCAGAGCUCAGUAACAUCAGCAUUUUGGAAGUAGGAUAGGAAGAAAGUCUCAUCACAAGGGAGCCCUGUGGAGAGGAAUGAGCACAGAAUUUGGAGUCAGAAGAGUGGAAGGCCUGGGCUUGGGGCCUGGCUGCACCGUGCCGGCUGGAUUGUUCUGGGAAAGCUGCCCAACUCUCUGCUCCGCAGUCCCCACAUCUGUCACUAGGGAUCAUAUCUGCCUCACAGGAUCAGCUGAGAUAAGGCACGUGUGUAAAAGGCUGUACAAAUGUUAGUUACUAUAAGGUUGUCUCAAAAAAAUAAAACCCACGGCAAAGAGUAUCCCAAGGCAGGCUCAUUUUACUCCAAUUACCAU